CUUUUCGAGGUAGGAGUCGACUCCUGUGAGGUAUGGUGCUGGGUGCAGAUGCAGUGUGGCUCUGGAUAGCACCUUAUGGACAGUUGUGUCCCCAAGGAAGGAUGAGAAUAGCUACUGAAGUAAGUUGAAAAUUCCCUCUCAAAAAGGUUUAAAGCCAUUGGAUGUGCCACAAUGAUGACAGUUUAUUUGCUACUCUUGAGUGCUAGAAUGAUGAGGAUCUUAACCACCAUUAUCUUAACUGAGGCACCCAAAAUGGUGAGUUGGGGAACAUAGAGAGUACACCUAAGUUCACAUGAAGUUGUUUCUUCCCAGGUCCUAAAGAGCAAGCCUAACUCAAGCCAUUGGCACACAGGCAUUAGACAGAAAGCUGGAAGUUGAAAUGGUAAGUGAAACUGUAUCCAAGUAAGCAGGUAACUGGGCAAACUUCCUACGGCACAAAUGGCUUUUUAGUUACCUCCUAGUGCUGAAUGCAUUAAAUAAAUGGCGGAUUCUUGUCUUGUUAUGAUUAAUAAGAAAGUUUGUAAAUGCAGCCUGGAUGAUGAUAAGCAAAUGCUGACUGAACAUGAAGGUCUUAAUUAGCUCUAACUGACUAAAGGCAUUUGUUAGUUUUGGCAGGGGGUGAACACUCAUCUGUGGCUAUUCUAAGACCACUCUUAUUUCUUAGGUGGAGUCCAACUUGCCUGGACCAGCUUAAUGGUUCUGCUCCUGGUAACGUUUUUAUCCAUGGAUGACUUGCUUGGGUAAGGACAUGAAGACAGUUCCUGUCAUACCUUUUAAAGGUACAUGUUUUAUUGAUGUUAACGUUAAUUGAUUGAGCUACUGUUAGUGAUGAUUUUAAAAUUAAAGCAGAUGGGAAUCUCUCUGAGAAAGAAAAUGGAGAUUAAUCUUAAACUGAAA
rnacentral:lncRNA from 1 species